rnacentral:rRNA from 1 species
GGUGGUGCAUGGUUGUCGUCAGCUCGUGUCGUGAGAUGUUGGGUUAAGUCCCGCAACGAGCGCAACCCUUAUCUUUAGUUGCCAUCAUUAGGUUGGGCACUCUAGAGAGACUGCCGGUGACAAACCGGAGGAAGGUGGGGAUGACGUCAAAUCAUCAUGCCCCUUAUGAUUUGGGCUACACACGUGCUACAAUGGAUGGUACAAAGGGCAGCAAAACCGCGAGGUCAAGCAAAUCCCAUAAAACCAUUCUCAGUUCGGAUUGUAGUCUGCAACUCGACUACAUGAAGCUGGAAUCGCUAGUAAUCGUAGAUCAGCAUGCUACGGUGAAUACGUUCCCGGGUCUUGUACAC